AUUGAACGCUGGCGGCAGGCCUAACACAUGCAAGUCGAGCGGAUGAAGGGAGCUUGCUCCUGGAUUCAGCGGCGGACGGGUGAGUAAUGCCUAGGAAUCUGCCUGGUAGUGGGGGAUAACGUCCGGAAACGGGCGCUAAUACCGCAUACGUCCUGAGGGAGAAAGUGGGGGAUCUUCGGACCUCACGCUAUCAGAUGAGCCUAGGUCGGAUUAGCUAGUUGGUGGGGUAAAGGCCUACCAAGGCGACGAUCCGUAACUGGUCUGAGAGGAUGAUCAGUCACACUGGAACUGAGACACGGUCCAGACUCCUACGGGAGGCAGCAGUGGGGAAGAUUGGACAAUGGGCGAAAGCCUGCUCCAGCCAUGCCGCGUGUGUGAAGAAGGUCUUCGGAUUGUAAAGCACUUUAAGUUGGGAGGAAGGGCAGUAAGUUAAUACCUUGCUGUUUUGACGUUACCAACAGAAUAAGCACCGGCUAACUUCGUG
rnacentral:rRNA from 1 species